GUGAAAUUGACCUCCCCGUGAAGAGGCGGGGAUGCAACAAUAAGACGAGAAGACCCUAUGGAGCUUCAAUUAUUUAGCCCAAAACUUUCCUAAAAUUCACUCAAUAUGAGCCUAACAAGGAUUCCUCCUGGGCUAAAAAUUUUGGUUGGGGUGACCUCGGAGUACAAAUCAACCUCCGAAUGAUUAUAGCCUAGACCCUACAAGUCAUAGCACUUAAAUCAUAAAUUGACCCAAGAAUAUUUGAUCAACGGAACAAGUUACCCUAGGGAUAACAGCGCAAUCCUA
rnacentral:rRNA from 1 species